AACAGUUUUUAAUCAUGACUCAAUCUGUGUGACACAAUCGGUUAUUUAUCAAACAAUUUCAUCUGAUUGUAUUUAACUGUUAUUUAUUUUUGUUCUUGGCUAUUCUCUAAAAGCUCAUUGGCUAAUCCUGACCCUUGUCGUGUUUUGAUUCCAUUUAAAAAUAGCAUUGGAUUAUCACAUAGAAACAGAACAGAGAUUUGAAAGCUCUUGUGAGAUGGAAGUCGUUACCUUUUGUCUUCGUCAAGCCUUCUCCUACGCGCCAGUGUUACACCAUUAAUGUUGCCAAUAUUAUUUAUUUUGCAAUCAACUAUUGAUUGAUUCAUGCUCGAAUCCAGCAUUGACUAAUCGUCCUUAGAUCAAUUUUUAUCAAUUGUUAAUUUAAAGCUUUUGUUGUUGAUAUUUAGAUUAAGAUAGCCUUAUCCCUGGCCUUACAUCGAUUGCAAUUACUGUCCAGUUGAUUUUAUUGACAUUGGAUGAUUCUUGAAAUUAAACAAUUGUUUUCGAGACUAUGGUAAAAUUGAAAGUGGAUUCAAAAAUAGAAUUAUCAACUUGUGAGUGUUCAAAUCAAAGCUGAUUAAACAUGAUGAAUAAUAAUUCUGUUUACUUCGUGAAAACUUCGUCUACUAUGAAAAUGGGACACAUGAAUAUGACAUAAUCAGGACAAAUGCCAUUUUUGAAAUGUUUCUAUUAUACAAUCCAUUGUUGAGAUAUCUAUAAGGCACAUCUCAAAAAAGUAUCGCAUUUGCAGUCGCAAGUUAUGAAUAUCUGAAAUUUUGGCCAUCAAUCUAUAAUGAUAGUCUGAGGCAACACCCGGUGAUUUACAAUUCAUUUCCAAAUAUCGUCGUAAAAUGUAAAUGUAAAUCUGGAUUGAAGAGAAUAAUCAAGCAAAGAAGAGCGUAAACAUUUGGAUCUCUCCGCCAUCGAUCUGGAAAAGUCUCAAUAAUACGAACAAGGCCAUUGUGCAAAGAAGCAUCCAUAUAAAAAACAUCUCUUCUAUUAAUCCGGACACCUGAACACUUGAAAGCAUAUAUUUGAUGGAGUUAAUAAUUAGCAAAUAAUGUAUUUUGAAAAGAUUUGCAUCUAAUUUGAAACAGAAGUGAUUAUUUGAA